rnacentral:rRNA from 1 species
UACGUAGGAGGCGAGCGUUGUCCGGAGUUACUGGGCGUAAAGGGUGCGCAGGCGGCCCGACAGGUGUGUGGUGAAAUCUCCCGGCUUACCUGGGAGGGGGCCACGCAAACCGUUGGGCUUGAGGCUCGGGGAGGGGCGUGGAAUUCCGGGUGGAGCGGUGAAAUGCGUAGAGAUCCGGAAGAACACCGGUGGCGAAGGCGGUCUGCUGGGCAGUUGCUGACGCUGAUGCGCGACAGCGUGGGGAGCAAACAGG